rnacentral:lncRNA from 1 species
AAAAAGCUAAAACUAAACUAAAUUCUAGAUUAAAUAUCAAUAAAGCGGAUAUCGGUACGUAAUUCGUCGUAAUUAGGGAAUCAAUUCUUUAUUGGUUUCUUGGUUUUAAAAAUAAAUCUUUUCAGUUAACGCUAUUGGUUAAAAGUUUUAUCUCAAACUCUCGCUCUGUUGAAUAAACUAUGAUUUUAUAUUAACGUAGCUGUCACUUAUAGUUAAGUCAAAAACCACUUUUUGAAAACAAUAGAAUCCGUAGAAACUCUUUUUAAGAAAACACUAAUCGUUUAAACACCCUUAUCUCAAACUCUCGCUCUGUUGACUUAGGUUAUAUAAUUAAAUUCAAAUGCUUAACUCUC